GAACAAGGUGGUGGAGGACGAGCUAGCUCAGUGCUGCAGGCACUCUAAGAGCACUGAGCUAGCUCUCACUCCAUGCCCUGAUCAA
ensembl:miRNA Mir1947 microRNA 1947